GACGAACCGUGCGAACGUUGUUCGGCAUCACUGGGCUUAGAGGGCGCGUAGGCGGGUUUUCAAGUCUGUGGUGAAAGCCUCCAGCUUAACUGGAGAAGUGCCGUGGAUACUGGAGACCUCGAGGAGGGUAGGGGCAUCUGGAACAGCCGGUGGAGCGGUGAAAUGCGUUGAUAUCGGCUGGAACUCCGAUGGCGAAGGCAAGGUGCUGGACCCUCUCUGACGCUGAGGCGCGAAAGCCAGGGGAGCGAACGGG
rnacentral:rRNA from 1 species